rnacentral:lncRNA from 1 species
UGGGAUUUGCGCCAUGAUCUUGGGGGUGUGGCUGGAAUCUAGCUCAUUUUGUUACAGACCCAUAACGGUACUAUUUCAGGAUCAAGCACACUUGGCCUCGGUAUUCUUCGAACUCCUGUCUUCGAGCAUCGUACUCUGUCUUCAAACUCGAGUUUGGUCCAUCAAUUUCGAAUUUGACCUCGCCCAGACUUGAGCCUAGGACGG